rnacentral:rRNA from 1 species
AUGGGAAUCCUAUUAGGAACACGGGAGCUGAAAUCGUUAUUCAACCGGUUAAGUUUGAGCGGUUACUCGGCUGGUUUGCUCGUUGCAUGCUUGCAGGGAGGUACACUUUGCGUUUGCCUUGUCAUCUCAUUACCGGCGACAAGGAAGUAUGCAGUACCUGAAAAAAUUCAUCAUUUUGGGUUUUGUAUCUGGGUUUAUGCUUUCUGUCGUCUCCAGAGCUUGCUGCAUGUGAUGCAGCCAUCGCUCCGCAGCUCGGUGGGUAACUGGGAAUGGUCGAUGUCGUCCUAUCAGGGCAGGAUGUCCUAUGAGAAUCAGAGAGAGUGA